CUUACGGGGGGCAGCAGUGGGGAAUAUUGGACAAUGGGGGCAACCCUGAUCCAGCCAUGCCGCGUGUGUGAAGAAGGCCCUCGGGUUGUAAAGCACUUUCAGUGAGGAAGAACGCCUGGUGGUUAAUACCCAUCAGGAAAGACAUCACUCACAGAAGAAGCACCGGCUAACUCCGUGCCAGCAGCCGCGGUAAUACGGAGGGUGCGAGCGUUAAUCGGAAUUACUGGGCGUAAAGCGCGCGUAGGUGGCUUGAUAAGCCGGUUGUGAAAGCCCCGGGCUCAACCUGGGAACGGCAUCCGGAACUGUCAAGCUAGAGUGCAGGAGAGGAAGGUAGAAUUCCCGGUGUAGCGGUGAAAUGCGUAGAGAUCGGGAGGAAUACCAGUGGCGAAGGCGGCCUUCUGGACUGACACUGACACUGAGGUGCGAAAGCGUGGGUAGCAAACAGGAUUAGAUACCCCUGUAGUC
rnacentral:rRNA from 1 species